CAUAGUGUUUUUCCUGAAGCAGAGAGAAUUUGGUCUACCGUUUCCUUUUACCCCUUUCUUUGUUGAGGUCUUUGAAUACUUUGGGGUAACUCCUCGAAUGUUAUCCCCAAAUUCCAUUUUAUUCAUGUCCUGUUUCGAGUCUAUCUGUCUGGGUUGGGGUUUCGCACCUACGGCCUGUCUGUUUGUCACUUUUUUCCGCCUGGUUAGGGCGAAGCAAAACUUCUAUUACUUUUCCCCCCGUAAUGGGCUGUCUCUUCUUACGGGCUACAAGGAUUCUAUAAAGGGAU
rnacentral:lncRNA from 1 species